CGUUGACGGCCGCGGACGAGCAUGGCUGCUCUACAUCCGGGGUUUCGCCGUCACUUCAUUUUGCUCAAAGGGUCCUGUGCAGCAACGGGGACGCCAUUGAGUGUCGUUGGCGUGUCGACCACUUCCCAGGUUCUAGCAGAUUGUUGGUGGAGACCGCUACAGCAGGCUGGUGCAGACUGGUGGUGUUGGUGGGGACCGCUACAGCCAUCGGAAGGGAUUUGGCAGGAGGUGGAGCCUUCUUUGCUUGACUUUUACUGCCAAGGGCUUCUGAUGUCCUGGCCCGGAACAGCUGCUCAACGUGCUGCAGUAAAGAGAAUACAUCCGCAGAUGGCUGGUGAAGUGCGCCCUCUCUGUACUCCUUCAUCUGCAGCAGUGUGGCGUUGUCCGGUAUAGCGUCGUCACUGUUCCUUAAGGCAGGCUUACAGGCCGAACACAAAGAGCCGCCUAGUACACCCUUGAUGACGUAUCCGGCCAGAUGGUAUAGCACACAGGACUCCGCUUUUGUGGAAAUGAUUCUGCUCCUACUGCAUGAGACUGCUGCUGUUGAUGGGGAAGUGCUUUUGCCAGAAAUGGCUUAGUUGCAGGUGGUGGCUUUCUUGAGUUGCACUGAUAAGGUUGAUGCUUUCAAUGCAUUGGAAGUUCCAGCAUGUUCCAGUGAAUUCCAAUUCUUCAUGCAUUAUUGAUUUCACACACACACACACACACACACACACACACACACACACACACACACACACACACACACACACACACGUCUUGUCAUGUACACAGACAUGCCGUUUUAUUCAUAGUUAUUUUGUUUGGGCUGUUUAUGUUUCUAUUUGGAGUAUUUU